GUGCUUGUUUUGGCAGUACAUAUACUAAAAUUAGAACGAUAAGGAGAAGAUUAGCAUGGCCCCUGGGCAAGGAAGACAUGCAAAUUCAUGAAGUGUUCCUAAAUAAA